UAUUAGAAUGGAAAAUUCUCUGAAAAAGAAAUAAUCUAUUUUGCAAGAUGCGUUGACAAGAAUAUUAGUUCGUUGAUACAAGAUCGUUGCUAAGAUGGGGACCAGGGCUGCUGCAUUCUCCGCUAAAAUUAAAUCUCUACGAGAACUUCAGACAAAGAUCAGUCAAAAUGUGUUACCAGUUCCAACUGGACUAGAUCUGUCUAACAGCUACAGAUGGUUCUCCACUACUCUGCUAUCUAUACUCAGAGAUGUACCAGGACUUCCUUAUCUUAUGAUACGAGACAACAGUAGGACUAU